GGCAGGGGCUGUGUCUCCCCUUCACCCUGGAGCUGCCUCAGGUCGGGGCACUGUUUUCUCCGUGAGGCUGGAGGCUCGCUGAGAGAGACUCUGCUUCCUGUUGGCACUGGGGCUGUGGUCUGGCAGCCAGGCGCCUGGCCGCUCCCCACACCUCCCAGGAGGCCUGGUGCAGAGGGAGCGGGUCAUGUCCUCCUGCAACGCUCUCCAGCCACCCACCACUUGCCGCCCCGCACCCCUGAGAUCACUAACGUGGCUGAAGGAGCACUGUCUCGCCUUAUUGUUCUAAGGCUGUUCACUAAGCAGACAUGGGUUCAAUCCCUGGAUUGGGAAAAUUCCCUGGAAAAGGAAAUGGCAAUCCACUCCAGUAUUCUUGCCUGGGAAAUCCCAUGGACAAGGGAGCCUGGCAGGUAAGAGUCCAUACGGUCUCAAAAGAGUUGGACACAACUUAGCGACUAAACAAUUACAUACAUAUCCUUAACAUGAUGUGAUGAGAAUGCCACUUCACUUCCGUAGUCAACCUCCCCCAAAUGCAUAGGCCCAGUCUAUGAGAAAAAGAUCAGACAAAUUCCAGCAGAGGGUAUUCUACAAAAAAAAAAAAAACAACCUGACCGUACUCCUCAAACUGUCACGUCAUCAAAAAUAAGAACAAUCCGAGACUAAAUGCGAUGAGGUAUCCCAAAUGGGAUCCUGGGACAAAACAUGGUAAAAACUAGGAAAAUCCGAAUAGAAGUAUGGACUUUAGUUGACAAUAAUAUAUCACUAUAGGUGAUUCAGACAGUAAAUAAUCCACCUGCAAAGAAGGAGACUUGGGUUCAAUCCUUGGGUUGGGAAGAUUCCCUGGAGAAGGGAAUGGCUUCCCACUCCAGUAUUCUUGUCUGGAGAAUUCCAGGGACAAAGGAGCCUGGUGGGCUACAGUCCACAGGGGCACAAAGAAUGACUGAGUGAAUAACAUUUGUGUGUAACAAUAGUAUAUCACUACUGGGAUCUUUAGUUGCAGCAUGUCGGACCUAGUUCCUGACCAGGGAUCAAACCUGGGCCUCCUGCAUUGGGACCAGAGAAUCUUAGGCACUAGACCACCAGGGAAAUCUUACUAUUGUUUCUUUAAUUGUAACACACAUCCAUGCUAAUAUAAGUUGUUAAUAUUAGGGGAAACUGUAUGCGGUGGGACAAGGGAUAUCAAUGGGAACUCUCUGUACUAUCUGUUUAAUUUUUUCUGUAAAUCUAAAACUGUUCUCAUGCAACUGACUAGGGCUUAAUUUCCAAAUAUACAAACAGUUCAUGCAACUUGCAACAAUAACGAAAAACAUGAGCAACCCAAUCAAAACAUGGGCAGAAGACCUCAAGAGAUAUUUCUCCAAAGAAGACAUAUAGAUGGCCAACAGUCACAUGAAAAGAUACUCAAUCUUGCUAAUUAUUAGAGAAAUGCAAAUCAAAACUACAAUGAGGUGCCACUUCACACUGGUCAGAACGGUCAUCAUUAAAAAAUCUAGAAAUAACAAAUGCUGGGGAGGAUUUGGAGUAAAGAAAACCCUCCUACAUUGGUGUGACUGUAAACUGGCGUAGCCACUAUGGAAAACUGUAUGGAUGUUCCUCAAAAAACUAUAAACGGAACUACCAUAUGAUCCAGCAAUCCCAUUCCUGGGCAUAUAUCCUGACUAAACUAUACUCAAAGAGAAACAUACACCCUAUGUUCAUAGCAGCACGGUUCACAAUAGGCAAGACAUGGGAACAACCUAAAUGUCUAUCAACAGAUGACUGGAUAAAGGAGAUGGAAUACUAUCAGACAUAAAAAGGAAUGAAAUAAUGCCAUUUGUAGCAACGUGGAUGGACCUAGAGAUUAUCACACUAAGUCACAAAGACAAAUACCAUGUGAUAUCACUUAUGUGUAAAAUCUAUAAAGAAGGCUGAGCGCCAAAGAAUUGAUGCUUUUGAACUGUGGUGUUGGAGAAGACUCUUGAGAGUCCCUUGGACUGCAAGGAGAUCCAACCCGUCCAUCCUAAAGGAAAUCAGUCCUGAAUGUUCAUUGGAAGGACUGAUGCUGAAGGAUGAAUACUUUGGCCACCUGAUGCGAAGGACUGACUCAUGGAAAAGACCCUGAUGCUGGGAAAGACUGAAGGCAGGAGGAGAAGGGGAUGAGAGAGGAUGAGAUGGUUGGAUGGCAUCCCCGACUCGAUGGACAUGAGUUUGAGCGAGCUCCAGGAGUUGGUGAUGGACAGGGAAGCCUGGCGUGCUGCAGUCCAUGGGAUCGCAGAGUCCGACGCGACUGAGCGACUGAACUGAACUGGUGUGUAAACUCUAAAGUGUGACGCAAAUAAACUUAUCUACAGAACAGAAGCAAACUCACAGACACAGAGAACAGACUUGUGGUUGCCAAGGGGGUGGGGGAGAGACGGAUUGGGAGUCUGAGAUGUGCAGAUGCAAACUAUUAAAUACAGAAUGGAUAAGCAACAAGGUCCUCAUUGCAUAGCCCAGAGAACUAUGGUCAAUACCUGUGAUAAACCACAAUGAAAAAGAAUAUGAAAAGGACUAUAUAUUAUACAUACGCGUACAGCUGAAUCACUUUGCUGUACGCCAGAAAUUAACACGACAUUGUAAACCAACUAUAUUUUAAUAAAAUAAAUUUUUAAAA
ensembl:lncRNA